GGCCUGAGAGACGCCAGGACCUCCGUGAGUGGGAGCACGGAUCUCGGUCGGGAGAGGCCAGGCGUGCAGGGGCUCCAAGAACUCAGAGUCCAGGCCUCUGUCUGAGGCAGGAGUCUCUAAGGUCAGAGACCAGGGGAGGUGCAGGUUCAGCCCGACACAAACGCCAUGCCCCUGGGUCAGAGGAGUGAGCUCUGGAAGCUGGAGGAAGACCCAGGCCCGGCCCAGGGCCUGGUGGAGGCACACCUGUCCGGGGCUGGGGA